CCUACGGGGGGCAGCAGUGGGGGAUAUUGCACAAUGGGGGGAACCCUGAUGCAGCGACGCCGCGUGGGUGAAGAAGCGCCUCGGCGCGUAAAGCCCUGUCAGCAGGGAAGAAAACGACGGUACCUGAAGAAGAAGCCCCGGCCAACUACGUGCCAGCAGCCGCGGUAAUACGGAGGGGGCAAGCGGUAACCCGAUUUACUGGGUGUAAAGGGGGGGCAGACGGCGAUGCAAGCCAGGAGUGAAAGCCCGGGUGCCAACCCCGGGACUGCGCUUGGAACUGCGUGGCUGGAGUGGAGGAGGGGCAGGCGGAAUUCCUGGUGUAGCGGUGAAAUGCGUAGAUAUCAGGAGGAACACCGGUGGCGAAGGCGGCCUGCUGGACUGCAACUGACGUUGAGGCCCGAAAGCGUGGGGAGCAAACAGGAUUAGAUACCCGAGUAGUC
rnacentral:rRNA from 1 species